AUGCUUGUGUGACAGUUGGACAAGGAGUGUGGACCAGCACAGGGCCGGGGACAGGGCAUAUAAAACGAGUCCUGUAUCACAUCACAGAGAGCGGCCUUUGAGAUGUUCUGGAAGCUCUCCAACUGUACCUGGAAACCUGUCCCUGCUCCCCUCAGCAAAUUUGAAUCCCAAAGUACAACCCAAGAACCAAAGGAUUCAAGGAAGGCACACGAGAUCCUGGCGUUGGCCCGACUAUCCACCCUCACUGAUAACCUUGUCUCACCUCAGUUACUCCUUACUUAUUAGCUCCGUAGAAUUGGGAAGAAAAUUGUAUUUACCACCUGACAGCUGAGAGGACCAGAGGGGACAGAAGAUGGGAAGUGGAAACCUUUCUGUAAUAUGAUGUGUUCGGUGGGAUUUAGGGUGCCCUGGAAGUUAGUCUUCCUCUGGAAGUAGUUGCCAGAAAUGUAGGCAUUACUAAGAAAGACAGUAUAAGGAACAAUGAGGGAAUGGAGGGACCUAAGUUCUUAAUAGAGGUGGAGAUUGGAGGGGGGGGGGGUGUUAAGUGGCCUCUUAAACACUUCAGACACACUCAGAGCUGUCACUACCUCACUGCUGAGUCCUGCUUGCCAAGGACUGUUUACCUAAUCUUUGUUGGUUUUUUGUUUGUUUGUUUGGUGGGUUGGUUGGUUGGUUUUGUUUUUACAGCGCUGGGGAUGGAACUCCUGGCCUUGUGAGUGAGAGGCAAGCCCCUCACAACGCUCAACCUUAGCCCCAGCCCUGCAUUCUCUCUGCGACUGUUUGUUCUGAGACAGAGUCUCACAGUGUAGCCUAAGUGGUCCUCAAACUUUAAAAUUCUCUCACCUCAGCCGCUCACUGCUGAGAUUACAAAUGUGCUCCACCAUGUCUGGCUUUAUUGACUCAUUUUCUGGACGAAUAGAGAGAGGCUCUAAAAGGCGAGUGUGCUUGUGUGCAGGCCUCAUAGCUACUAGGUGAUAAACCCAAGGUGUCCAUCCUGUCUGCAAAGCA